rnacentral:lncRNA from 2 species
AUGACAAAAAAGCUGCCUCGGAUUUCUUCUUCUCGACCCCAGGCUCCACCUACGCACUCUAUUCCUGCCUCCUCUAGACCCCGGGCUCCACCUACCCACUCUAUUACUUCUUCCUCCCGACCCCAGGCUCCACCUACCCAGUCUAUUCCUUCCUCCUCCCGACCCCGGGCUCCACCUACCCACUCUAUUACUUCUUCCUCUAGACCCCGAGCUCCACCUACCCACUCAAUUACUUCUUCCUCCCGACCCCGGGCUCCACCUACCCAAUCUAUUCCUUCCUCCUCCCGACCCCAGGCUCCACCUACCCAGUCUAUUCCUUCCUCCUCCCGACCCCGAGCUCCACCUACCCACUCCAUUACUUCUUCCUCUCGACCCCAGGCUACACCUACCCACUCUAUUACUUCUUCCUCUAGACCCCGAGCUCCACCUACCCAGUCUAUUCCUUCCUCCUCCCGACCCCGAGCUCCACCUACCCACUCUAUUACUUCUUCCUCCCGACCCCAGGCUACACCUACCCACUCUAUUACUUCCUCCUCCCGACCCCGGGCUCCACCUACCCAGUCUAUUACUUCUUCCUCUCGACCCCGGGCUCCACCUACCCAGUCUAUUACUUCUUCCUCUCGACCCCAGGCUCCACCUACCCACUCCAUUCCUACCUCCUCCCAACCCCAGGCUCCACCUACGCACUCUAUUACUUCUUCCUCUGGACCCCAGGCUCCACCUACCCACUCCAUUCCUUCCUCCUCUCAACCCUGGGCUUCCUCUAUCUACACUAUUCCUUUCUCCUGUCAUUGUUCAAUCCUGUUUCCUCUUAUGCGUAACUCUUUUCGUCCACAGAACACCAGAUUCAGCCAGCUUCAGCCACCUCUCUCAACUCAGAAACCUAUCUCUUUCCCUCCUAUUCAUAGUGCUGUCCCUCCCUGCCGUCCUAACCUACAGGUUUCCCCACCCAAAUCUGGCUCUAUUCCUUCCAAAACGUCCAGCCCCCGCUCUUUUUUUCUCGCUCCUGUUCCCCGUUAUUCCAAUUCCUUCAUUGCUCCUACUCCCCCUUCCAGCCAUUCAGAGACUUGA